rnacentral:lncRNA from 1 species
GUUAAAAUUUCCCAAAGCUGAAGCAUGCAAAAACAUCUUUAUCCAAAAGUACUGUUGGAGACAACAGGGAAAUAUACAUGUACUGAACUACCUCCCCAAAUUAUUUGGUCAGAUUUCUUUGAUACUGCACAAGAUACAUCUGUUAGCUUGCCCCACUAGGCUCCCUUAAUUUAGGACUUCUAUGAUAAAAGGUUCUCUAAACAGAUUAGGGUUAGGUUUAUGGUUAGGGUAAGGACUAGGUUUAAACCUACUGUUAGGGUUAGAGUCAGUUUUGUUCAUGUAUCUUUGAUACUGGGCAGGAUUCAUCUUUUACCUAGCCUCACAAUGUUCCCUGGUUUUGGCAUUCUUGGUUCAAUGGUUUGCUGUCAGGAACAGUUUGUAUUUUAAGGUUUCACUUUAUUUUGAACUAUUUUGUUGAAGAGAAAUGGAGCACAAAAUGAAACAUUGUUGGUGCUAGCUGCUUGAAACUGCACACACUCAAUAAGUUCUCUGUGGGCACUCUCUGGUUUGUUCCUUGUGAAUGUUGCCCUCAGCUGAAACAUGCAAACAACUUUAUCCCAGAGCACUUCUGU